GUUGAACGCUGGCGGCAUGCCUAAUACAUGCAAGUCGAGCGAACAGACGAGGCAGUUUCUUCCCUGACGGUAGCGGCGGGCGGGUGAGUGACACGUGGAGAACCUACCUAUAUGGCUGGGAUAAAUUCGGGAAACCGGAGCUAAUUCCGGAUAAUAGUUUGAACCGCAUGGUUCAAUAGUGAAAGACGGUUUUGCUUUGGAUGUGAGAUGGAGCCGCACCGCAUUAGCUAGUAGGUAAGGUAACGGCUUACCAAGGCAACGAUGCGUAGCCGAGCUGAGAGGGUGAUCGGCCACACUGGAACUGAGACACGGUCCAGACUCCUACGGGAGGCAGCAGUAGGGAAUCUUGCGCAAUGGGCGAAAGCUUGACGGAGCCACGCCGCGUGAGUGAUGAAGGUCUUCGGAUCGUAAAACUCUGUUAUUAGGGAAGAACAAAUGUGUAAGUAACUAUGCACGUCUUGACGGUACCUAAAGAGAAAGCCACGGCUAACUACGUG
rnacentral:rRNA from 1 species